CACGUAGGGGGCAAGCGUUGUCCGGAUUUAUUGGGCGUAAAGAGCUCGUAGGCGGCUCAGUAAGUCGGGUGUGAAACCUCCAGGCUCAACCUGGAGACGCCACCCGAUACUGCUGUGGCUAGAGUCCAGUAGGGGAGCGUGGAAUUCCUGGUGUAGCGGUGAAAUGCGCAGAUAUCAGGAGGAACACCAGUGGCGAAGGCGGCGCUCUGGGCUGGAACUGACGCUGAGGAGCGAAAGCGUGGGGAGCGAA
rnacentral:rRNA from 1 species